rnacentral:lncRNA from 1 species
UUUUUUUUGGCAUGCUUUGGGCUAGGUUGGGCCAGGGUUAGCUGAUUAGGUUUAGUGGGUUAGGUUCAUAUUGGGCUUGGGUAGAAAAGGAUUUGGGUCUGGGUAACGGGUUUAAGUUACCAUUGUAAUUGGGUUAAAAUGAUUUUGUUUUAGUUUAGGUUUGUAAAGAGACUGGUCAUUCAUUAUUAUUCAUUUUUAUAUUUUAUUUGGGUUUUAAUUUUGGGCUCGGGCUGGGCAAAAUUUGGGUGUUACAGCUGCCCCUCUUUGCUCGUUGUCGUGUAACAGGGACGAAGCAAAGACUCUAAAAAUAGC